GCGGGCUCCCCGCCCCCCCCCCGCGCCGAGUCCCAGAGCCUUCCGCAGGGCCGAGGGGUCGUCGCCAGCUCACCGGCAGCAGAGCCGGGCGGACCGCGCCCAGGGCUGACUCACAUCGCGCUCACUGCUGACCUCGCUCAGGCUGAGCUACAAGACCUGGAGCAACUCAGCUGCUUCCGAAAACGGAGAUAAACUUCUACUAAAUACCAUCUGAGCCUAUUCCUGCACAAAAGAGAGACUGAAGAAAAGAAAUUUGGGCCAAAUUCCAUAUUCCUGUCCUCUUUCAUGGCAGAAAAUUGGUCAAAGGCACCACAGUAGCAUGAAACCGAAAAGGAGUAGCAUCGCCUACUGAAUGUUUAAGGUCCCUGCCCAUGCCUAUGCUGUUCUUCUCCCCAGAAUGCCUAGCCACCUAACAAGUAGCUCUAUCACCCUUCCUUUACCCACCCUCCAGUUUGAGCCCUUUUCCCAGUCACCCUAUCCAUGCUUCAGGAGGCACCGAAAGUCUAUAUAGUAAGUACACCAAAGUGAUACACAGCAGCACAAAGCCAUAGUGAACUGAGAGAACUCACUGGGAAAAAAAUCAACCAAUCUGGGAACCUCUAGAUACCGGUCCUCAGCUGCACCCAGCUUGUGGCCCCAACAUGGACUGAUUUACUCUCAGACAGUAUUAACUGGCAUAAGUAGUUAGUUAUCCAAACUUGAGUGCCAACUUUAAGAGGGCCAUUCAGCUUUGAUAUGAUUCCAUAACAACUACCUUUAUCGGGCGCCUACAACAAUCUGGCCACCUGCUUCAUGCUUACCAUCCCUACCCCAUAAAUGAGGAAACUGAGACUCAAAGAAGUUAGGCCACUUGGAGUUAAACCACUUCCCUGAGGUCGCAGAGCCAGCAAGUGUCAGAAUCUGGAUACAAACCCAAGUCUUUCUGGCUCUAAAGUUCCUACUGCACAGAGGGUACUUUUACAAAGUAAUAAAGACAAAUAAUAGUAAACCAUUCUUCAAGAACACACUCUUGCAGAAGGACGUUGCUAAUGUCUGCUUCCUUGAGUUCUAUACACAUCUCCAGAGCAGCCCUCUACAGGCAAGCUCCUGCAGGGAACACUGUGAUAAUGCAACAGAAAACCAUCCUGUUGGCUACCCUGCCAGAUAGUCCUAAGUUUGUAGGUACAUUAGCUGAGCCCCAAAACUGCCAAGUGCAAGUCCACUGGUGGAUCGCAGCUCUAACAAAGCAGCUUACCAAGAAAAAAAAAAGUGAGAAUUUGAAUGUAUUUUCUAUACUCAAGUUGGGGCCCAAGAACUCUGCUGGAGGGCAAGGGAACAGGAAGUGAGGAGGGAGCAAGCAUCCACUUCCCAAGGGCAGCAAAGCCCAGAGGUGGGAGCCUGGUCACAUGCAGUUGCAUUACUUGUCCACGCCCACUUCCGGCCAGAGCCUGCCUCUUCACCUCUAAGUCAGUACUUUGAAGGAAAGCAAAACACUACCAGAAACUCUCCUUAUAAUCUCUCUCUCCUCUUGAAGCAUGUGUCUUGAAUGAAUUUCCACCCCUGCUCUCCGGCUCCACCCCUCACAAAUACACUUAAGAAAAGCAUCUGUCACAUAAUUGACCUAUGUGGCUUAACAUCAAGUCUGACAUCAUGGAAAGGUUAAGGUUAGUGCUUCUCCAACCCCAGUAUAAGAGGGAACCCUAGGGCAGAGGGAACUGUGCACCAACAACCUACUAAUGCACAACAAAGUAGUCUAUCUAUUUGAAAGCUCACUACUCUUUCCCAUACCAUAAACAACAGCCAAGCACUCUGCUUGUCUGAAUUUUCUUCUAAGAUUUCAAACAAGGUGAGAGGGCUUUUAGAGCUGUUUAUCUCUGUGCAUAACAUGCACUGCCAUGAAGAAAUGCCACAGGAUUCCAAAAACACACUGCCACUGACUUCAAGAAAAGCGAAGCUGAAAAUGCUCCUGCCAGUGACCAUCCCAGAUUCUCUUUUUUCUCAGAUUAUAGUCACAGUCAUCCUGAAUCAACUAGUGCCAACAGCCAACAAUCACCCAGGAAAAUGCCAUGAUUUUUGCCUCCUUUAAGAUGGAGGAAACAGAAGCAGAGUCCAGUGAGUAAGUUAGAGUAGUAGUGAGGUUUCACUUCUAAACCUCCAAGAAACUCCACCCCAAACUCCCAACAUCCAGGGAUAUUCCCAAAGAAGCUCUGCAAUAGUCUUUCAUUUGAUUGUUUUCUUCUCUGUGACUGGGAUUAAGUUCCUUGAGAGCUGACUUCAUCUAUCCUACUCACUGUUAGGCUGCCAGCACCCAGCAUGGUAAACCUGGUGCAACGUCGUCACACAAACAUUUACUGCUGGAUUAUUUGCUGAUAUAGGAAGUUACAUGAGCCAGAAUAUUUAACACUAUUUUUCAAUCCAAUUUAAGUUGCGUUAAAAAAAAAAAAAAAAAAUGCCCUGGGGCCCUAGGUGGCUCAGUGGGUUCGUGAUCUUGCAGUCCAUGGGUUCGGGCCCCGCGUCAGCCUCUGUGCAGACAGCUCGGAGCCUGGAGCCUGCUUCUGAUUCUGUGUCUCCCUCUCUCUCUGCCCCUCCCCCACUCAUGCUCUGUCUCUCAAAAGUGAAUAAAUGUUAAAAAAAAAUUUUUUUUAAUGCCCUACCUUAUGUCCACACAAGAAAAGUCUUGUUUAGUUGAGUGCUCAAACUGUCCCUUAUAGGCCGGUUUGAAGAGAUAAAUUAUUAUUCUAACAAUGCACCACAAUAAACAAAAGCAGCCGGGCUACAGACAGGAAAAAGCCAAAUUUAAUACUAGAAAUUAAAAAUAACACCUUCCAUGCAUUUGCAUGGAACAACUUCAUACAGUAGUUAUUUCCCAAUUCCAGAAGAGGUCAGUCUCUUUCUUAUCAUUAAGAUCCUACAGGGAUUUAAUGCCCCCAGUGCUGUCUCCAACAGGAAGGAAACCCUGACUUCCCUAGCUAUUUCAGUAAUAUAAAUCAACAGUUUAUCGUCCAGAGUUAGAAGCUGGGCAGUGUUGGGACCCAUAUGCCUUUUAGAGCUCCCCACCAACAGAUAACCAUGUUACAUUACAUCUAAUAAAUGUACCUAGAUCAAUAUCAUUUCUAACUAUCCAAGGGUUUUUACUGCUAUAAGGAUCUUUCAAAUUAAAAAAAAAAAAAAAAGUUUAAAAAACUUCCUGUUAGAUAAGAGACUUGGUGGUGACGCCACCAUCCACCAGAGUGAAGUCUGUGACACAAAAAGACACAGAACAAUUUCAAAAGGGAUAGUGAGCCCUUUAGAGUUAUUUACUUUAUUUUUUAUAUCUUAAAAAUAAUAAAGCUUUGUUCUUUUUUCUUUAAUGGAAUAACUGUCUUUAAAAGAAUUAAGAGGGGGCACCUGCACCUGCGUGGCUCAGUCAGUUAGUUCGGCUCAGGUCAUGAUCUCAUGGUUUGUGAGUUUGAGCCCCAAACUGGGCUCUCUGCUAUCAGCAAUGAGGAGCUGGCUUUGGAUCAUCUGUCCCCUUCUCUCUCUGCCCCUUCCCCCCUUGCACUCUCUCUCGCAAAAAUAAAACAUUUUUUAAAAAAAUUUUUUAAAAAGAGAGAAAUUUAAGAUUGGUGGAUUCUU